rnacentral:rRNA from 1 species
GACGAACGCUGGCGGCGUGCUUAACACAUGCAAGUCGAACGGUGACGAGGAGCUUGCUCCUCCGAUCAGUGGCGAACGGGUGAGUAACACGUGAGUAACCUGCCCCAGACUCUGGGAUAACAGUUGGAAACAGCUGCUAAUACCGGAUACGAGACGGAGAGGCAUCUCUACCGUCUGGAAAGUUUUUCGGUCUGGGAUGGACUCGCGGCCUAUCAGCUUGUUGGUGAGGUAAUGGCUCACCAAGGCGACGAUGUCUAGCUGGUCUGAGAGGAUGAUCAGCCACACUGGGACUGAGACACGGCCCAGACUCCUACGGGAGGCAGCAGUAGGGAAUAUUGGACAAUGGGGGGAACCCUGAUCCAGCCAUGCCGCGUGAGGGAAGAAGGUCCUCUGGAUUGUAAACCUCUUUUGGCAGGAAACAAACCUGCGCUAUACGCGCAGCUGAGGGUACCUGCAGAAUAAGCACCGGCUAACUCCGUGCCAG